UACGUAGGGUGCGAGCGUUGUCCGGAAUUAUUGGGCGUAAAGAGCUCGUAGGCGGUCUGUCGCGUCGGAUGUGAAACCCCGGGGCUUAACCCUGGGCCUGCAUUCGAUACGGGCAGACUAGAGUUCGGUAGGGGAGACUGGAAUUCCUGGUGUAGCGGUGAAAUGCGCAGAUAUCAGGAGGAACACCGGUGGCGAAGGCGGGUCUCUGGGCCGAUACUGACGCUGAGGAGCGAAAGCGUGGGGAGCAAACAGG
rnacentral:rRNA from 1 species